AAAGGUAAGCUACUAAGAGCGAAUGGUGGAUGCCUUGACUGGUAAAGGCGAUGAAGGACGUACUAGACUGCGAUAAGCUACGGGGAGCUGUCAAGAAGCUUUGAUCCGUAGAUUUCCGAAUGGGGCAACCCAAUGUAUAGAGAUAUACAUUACCUAUAUAGGAGCGAACGAGGGGAAUUGAAACAUCUUAGUACCCUCAGGAAAAGAAAUCAAUAGAGAUUGCGUCAGUAGCGGCGAGCGAAAGCGCAAGAGGGCAAACCCAGUGCUUGCACUGGGGGUUGUAGGACUGCAAUGUGCAAGAGGUAAGUUUAGCAGAACAUUCUGGAAAGUAUAACCAUAGAGGGUGAUAGUCCCGUAUGCGAAAAACAAACCUUAGCUAGCAGUAUCCUGAGUAGGGCGGGACACGAGGAAUCCUGUCUGAAUCCGGGUCGACCACGAUCCAACCCUAAAUACUAAUACCAGAUCGAUAGUGCACAAGUACCGUGAGGGAAAGGUGAAAAGAACUGAGGUGAUCAGAGUGAAAUAGAACCUGAAACCAUUUGCUUACAAUCAUUCAGAGCCCUAUGUAGCAAUACAGGGUGAUGGACUGCCUUUUGCAUAAUGAGCCUGCGAGUUGUGGUGUCUGGCAAGGUUAAGCAAACGCGAAGCCGUAGCGAAAGCGAGUCUGAAUAGGGCGCUUAGUCAGAUGCUGCAGACCCGAAACGAAGUGAUCUAUCCAUGAGCAAGUUGAAGCUAGUGUAAGAACUAGUGGAGGACUGAACCCAUAGGCGUUGAAAAGCCCCGGGAUGACUUGUGGAUAGGGGUGAAAGGCCAAUCAAACUUCGUGAUAGCUGGUUCUCUCCGAAAUAUAUUUAGGUAUAGCGUUGUGUCGUAAUA
rnacentral:rRNA from 1 species